UACAGGGGGGUGCAAACGUUGCUCGGAAUCAUUGGGCGUAAAGCGCACGUAGGCGGUCUGUUAUGUCGGAUGUGAAAGCCCUUGGCUCAACUGAGGAAGUGCAUCCGAAACUGGCAGGCUAGAGUACUAAAGAGGAUCGCGGAAUUCCCGGUGUAGAGGUGAAAUUCGUAGAUAUCGGGAGGAACACCGGUGGCGAAGGCGGCGAUCUGGGUAGAUACUGACGCUGAGGUGCGAAAAGCGUGGGGAGCAAACAGG
rnacentral:rRNA from 1 species